rnacentral:lncRNA from 1 species
CAGAAUACCACAGUCUUGAGGCUAUGAAGUCCAUGAUUAAGAAGACAGCACGUUUGCUUUCUGGUUCCAAGAUGGCACACCUUGUUGCUGCUUCCUCCAGAGAGGAGGAACACUGUGUCCUCACAUGGUAGAAGGUGGAAGGAGCAGAUGCAGAUGAGCAUGGCAAUGUGAGAAUAUGUCAGAGGCCCCAAGAUGAAAUGAGCUCAAGUCCCUGAAAUCCCUGUUAGAAGAGUCUGUCCACUGGUUGAGAAUGCUAAUUGUAUUUUGAGAAACAAAACAGAAUUUUUACUUAUAUCAGAAGGCAAUCAAAGAACAUACAGAUAAUAUACAUUCUAUUAUAGAGGAGAAGAAAUGCUUACUGCCAAUACCAUGACAGAUAACAAAUUAUCAGGCAUGUAUCUGAGUAUGCAGAGAAGGGACUGAAUGAAUAUGCCCAAAGAUGUGUAACACUCAUUGUCUCUGGGGAGAUGAUGUCUGUGUUCUGUCUGUUGAGGAAGGGUAGAUUUCUGACUAUGGAAGAGGUAAGUUGUCUGUGUAACCUCAUUCUUCCUGGACAUGGGACAAGAACUUGGGACCCGCUGAAUGAUGGGAGCAAAAGGAUCUGUAUCAUGUUCCUGGCCAGCUUGCUAAACUGCAGAUGGUGACAUGCUCCCAGACUGCAGGAGUGAAGAGUGGCAACCCUUCUGGCAG